rnacentral:rRNA from 1 species
CCUACGGGGGGCAGCAGUGGGGAAUAUUGGACAAUGGGGGCAACCCUGAUCCAGCCAUGCCGCGUGUGUGAAGAAGGCCCUCGGGUUGUAAAGCACUUUCAGUGAGGAAGAACGCCUGGUGGUUAAUACCCAUCAGGAAAGACAUCACUCACAGAAGAAGCACCGGCUAACUCCGGGCCAGCAGCCGCGGUAAUACGGAGGGUGCGAGCGUUAAUCGGAAUUACUGGGCGUAAAGCGCGCGUAGGUGGCUUGAUAAGCCGGUUGUGAAAGCCCCGGGCUCAACCUGGGAACGGCAUCCGGAACUGUCAAGCUAGAGUGCAGGAGAGGAAGGUAGAAUUCCCGGUGUAGCGGUGAAAUGCGUAGAGAUCGGGAGGAAUACCAGUGGCGAAGGCGGCCUUCUGGACUGACACUGACACUGAGGUGCGAAAGCGUGGGUAGCAAACAGGAUUAGAUACCCUAGUAGUC